UCGCGCUUUGUUAAAGUUUGGCCGAUCAGCACCAUGCCAGCACUCCAUUCCAAUUGGCUAUUCAAGCUUAAAGAUGUUGAGGGAAUUGCAUCUGGAGGGUGCAAACUUGGACAUGUUUCCUGCAGACAUUGAAGAACUAUUGUUGUUGAGGUACUUGUGUUUGAGGAAUACAAGAAUCAGAAGCAUUCCGAAAUCAAUAGGAAAGCUUAAGCACCUUGAAACCUUGGACCUCAAACAAACAUUAGUCAGAACACUGCCAAAAGAAAUAUGCCAUCUUUCUAAGCUUCGUUACUUACUUGUUUACAGAUAUGACAUUGAAGAUUAUGUGGCAUUUAACACAAUUAAAGGAUUUGAGGUCGCAGGAGAGAUCACGAGGUCGGCCAAUCUUCGCAAGCUACUGUUUGUGCAAGUCAAUAAAA
rnacentral:lncRNA from 1 species